GACACUAAGGGACACUGGGAGACAUUAUGGCGGACACUGAGACACUAAGGGACACUGGGAGACAUUAUGGCAGACACUGAGACACUAAGGGACAUUGGGAGAUAUUAUGGCAGACACUGAGACACUAAGGGACAUUGGGAGAUAUUAUGGCAGACACUGAGACACUAAGGGACAUUGGGAGACAUUAUGGCAGACACUGAG